rnacentral:lncRNA from 1 species
CUAUCUUUUCACCCCCAUCUAUCUGUUUCCUUAAUUCCUUCUCUAUUUCUUUUUAUUCCUUCUUCUUCUAGUCAUUUUCUCCAUCCUCCAAUAACUAGUUUUGAGAGUUCCAGUGAGGAUUGGUCCUUCGAAUCUUCUCCUUCUUUAGGGAGAGAUCCUAUAGGUUUGGAUGUCAGGCAUGAGGUCGGACCGCCUUUUAUGUCUAACACCAUCCGGUCUGCCUUGGAUUCAAAAGAUCUGAAUCUAAUUCGAGCCCAAUACAGGAUUUCCUCUUUAUAUGAGUUGGAACUUCUGAGUCCCAGUGGCA